UGAGGACAAUGCCAUUGACUGGUAACAUGUAGCUUUUGUUCUGUGCUACAUAUAUAGCCUGAAUUAAUUCUCUUUUUUUUUUUUGCAUAACUGGUAAUCGGAGUCUGGAAAUGUACACCAGAAAAAGGUUUGUACAAAAUAUUUUUCUUUACAUUCUUGUAGUUUUCUCAACUACGGAAUGGUUAUGAACAAUACAUGACGUUGAAUCAUGCAUGAACUUUCACCGGCAGUAUUUUCUUGUACACCAGAAAAACUGCACAAAAUUAGUGUUUUUUCUUUUUUACAUUCUUGUAGUUUUUUGAACUACGGUGAAUCUUUCACCCUGGUUAUUUUUUCUAAGUCUAGAAUUAAUCAAUUAAUUAAAGCUUUAAGCUUACAUUAAGCUUAUAAGCUUUGUGCUAACAAAAAAAAAAAGCUUCCCCUAAAAGGAAAUGGUAAAAAUUGAAUCUUUAUCUAUCUUCACUCGGCGUCCUCUUGGAUGAUGCUCAGCGCCCGCUUCAGCCGCGCCCGCGUCGCCGCCGCCGCCGCGGCGAGCUUCUCGCCGCUCUUUGGCGGGCUCCACGACGCCGGGAACUCUCCCAGCGUCCGCUCGUUCAGCUUCUCGUGGAGCAGCACGUCGCCGUCGAGCUGCUCGUCCCGCAGCGGCGCGACGCGCA
rnacentral:lncRNA from 1 species